rnacentral:misc_RNA from 1 species
AUUGAUGGUCACUGUACGCCGGGUGCCUUCGGGCAACCGGGAUUGCGAAGCUCCCCCAACCGGCUCCUUUCCCGGCGUACAGUGACCAUCCUU